GUGUCCCUACGGGAGGCAGCAGUGGGGGAUAUUGGACAAUGGGGGAAACCCUGAUCCAGCGACGCCGCGUGAGUGAAGAAGCAUUUCGGUAUGUAAAGCCCUGUCAGCAGGGAAGAAAGAAAUGACGGUACCUGACCAAGAAGCCCCGGCUAACUACGUGCCAGCAGCCGCGGUAAUACGUAGGGGGAAAGCGUUAUCCGGAAUUACUGGGUGUAAAGGGAGCGUAGACG
rnacentral:rRNA from 1 species